rnacentral:rRNA from 1 species
UGAACGCUGGCGGCGUGCUUAACACAUGCAAGUCGAACGGAAAGGCCGAAGCUUGCUUCGGUACUCGAGUGGCGAACGGGUGAGUAACACGUGGGUGAUCUGCCCUGUACUUCGGGAUAAGCUUGGGAAACUGGGUCUAAUACCGGAUAUGACGAUCUCUUGGAUGGGGUUGUGGAAAGCUUUUGCGGUAUGGGAUGAGCUCGCGGCCUAUCAGCUUGUUGGUGGGGUAAUGGCCUACCAAGGCGUCGACGGGUAGCCGGCCUGAGAGGGUGUACGGCCACAUUGGGACUGAGAUACGGCCCAGACUCCUACGGGAGGCAGCAGUGGGGAAUAUUGCACAAUGGGCGCAGGCCUGAUGCAGCGACGCCGCGUGGGGGAUGACGGCCUUCGGGUUGUAAACUCCUUUCGCAAUCGACGAAGCCUUUUGGUGACGGUAGGUUGAGAAGAAGCACCGGCUAACUACGUG